AUUGAACGCUGGCGGCAGGCCUAACACAUGCAAGUCGAGCGGAUGAGUGGAGCUUGCUCCAUGAUUCAGCGGGGGACGGGUGAGUAAUGCCUAGGAAUCUGCCUGGUAGUGGGGGACAACGUUUCGAAAGGAGCGCUAAUACCGCAUACGUCCUACGGGAGAAAGCAGGGGACCUUCGGGCCUUGCGCUAUCAGAUGAGCCUAGGUCGGAUUAGCUAGUAGGUGAGGUAAUGGCUCACCUAGGCGACGAUCCGUAACUGGUCUGAGAGGAUGAGCAGUCACACUGGAACUGAGACACGGUCCAGACUCCUACGGGAGGCAGCAGUGGGGAAUAUUGGACAAUGGGCGAAAGCCUGAGCCAGCCAUGCCGCGUGUGUGAAGAAGGUCUUCGGAUUGUAAAGCACUUUAAGUUGGGAGGAAGGGCAGUAAGUUAAUACCUUGCUGUUUUGACGUUACCAACAGAAUAAGCACCGGCUAACUUCGUGCCAGCCGCCGCCGUAAUAC
rnacentral:rRNA from 1 species